ACCUCGUUGCUUCGGCGGGCCCGCCUUAACUGGCCGCCGGGGGGCUCACGCCCCCGGGCCCGCGCCCGCCGAAGACACCCCCGAACUCUGCCUGAAGAUUGUCGUCUGAGUGAAAAUAUAAAUUAUUUAAAACUUUCAACAACGGAUCUCUUGGUUCCGGCAUCGAUGAAGAACGCAGCGAAAUGCGAUACGUAAUGUGAAUUGCAAAUUCAGUGAAUCAUCGAGUCUUUGAACGCACAUUGCGCCCCCUGGUAUUCCGGGGGGCAUGCCUGUCCGAGCGUCAUUGCUGCCCUCAAGCCCGGCUUGUGUGUUGGGCCCCGUCCUCCGAUUCCGGGGGACGGGCCCGAAAGGCAGCGGCGGCACCGCGUCCGGUCCUCGAGCGUAUGGGGCUUUGUCACCCGCUCUGUAGGCCCGGCCGGCGCUUGCCGAUCAACCCAAAUUUUUAUCCAGGUUGACCUCGGAUCAGGUAGGGAUACCCGCUGAACUUAAGCA
rnacentral:rRNA from 1 species